CAAUCGGCCCUUUUCAGGGCCAACAAAUGUGUACUACUUCCAAUAA
rfam:Aedes aegypti strain Liverpool supercont1.515 genomic scaffold, whole genome shotgun sequence.